AUUGAACGCUGGCGGCAGGCCUAACACAUGCAAGUCGAGCGGAUGAAGGGAGCUUGCUCCUGGAUUCAGCGGCGGACGGGUGAGUAAUGCCUAGGAAUCUGCCUGGUAGUGGGGGAUAACGUCCGGAAACGGGCGCUAAUACCGCAUACGUCCUGAGGGUGAAAGUGGGGGAUCUUCGGACCUCACGCUAUCAGAUGAGCCUAGGUCGGAUUAGCUAGUUGGUGGGGUAAAGGCCUACUAAGGCGACGAUCCGUAACUGGUCUGAGAGGAUGAUCAGUCACACUGGAACUGAGACACGGUCCAGACUCCUACGGGAGGCAGCAGUGGGGAAUAUUGGACAAUGGGCGAAAGCCUGAUCCAGCCAUGCCGCGUGUGUGAAGAAGGUCUUCGGAUUGUAAAGCACUUUAAGUUGGGAGGAAGGGCAGUAAGUUAAUACCUUGCUGUUUUGACGUUACCAACAGAAUAAGCACCGGCUAACUUCGUG
rnacentral:rRNA from 1 species